UGCCAGCCGCCGCGGUAAUACAUAUGUGGCGAGCGUUGUUCGGAAUUAUUGGGCAUAAAGCGUCUGUAGGCGGUUAUAUCAGUCGGUUGUGAAAGCCCUCAGCUCACCUGAGGAAUUGCAGCCGAUACUAUAUAACUGGAGUCCCUGAGGGGAAAGUGGAAUUCAAGGUGUAGCGGUGAAAUGCGUAGAUAUCUUGGAGAAGGCCAAAGGCGAAGGCAACUUUCUGGUAGGUGACUGACGCUGAGAGACGAAAGCUAGGGUAGCGAACGGGAUUAGAUA
rnacentral:rRNA from 1 species